UUCCCUUUAUAUUCUUGGCCUUUUGUUCUUCCAGAUGAUUUCCCUUUGUUGUAACAAAGUUGAAUGACCAUAAUAAGACUAAAAGUUAAGUUGGCUCAAUGCAUUCAGCAACUGGAGACAGAGCUCUUGGCUUCUGACAAUCCAAAAUAGCAGCUAAUAGGCUCCGUAACAGCACACAUAAAAGAGGUGGGGACCAACACCAGAGAACACAACGGCAACCAAUGGGCUGAGACUGGCAACCUCAGAGAUUUCACUGCACUGAACUGAGACCAGAAUCGUAAGAUAGGAGAAUCAGAGCAGGAGUGAGGCAGAGACUUGGGAAGUGUGCUAACAAAGUUCCUGAUAUUUCCUAUUUACUGUUUCUCCAAGGGUGACUCCUUCUACCCAGGAACCAGGGCAUGAGUGGGCUUUCACCACUAACCUAAGUUCAAAUCCUAUCACAGACAAGAAGUUGCUGUGUGACCCUGGGCAAGUCAUUUAAGCUCUGAGAGAGCCUCAGGUUUCCACAUCUCUAAAUUGGGGAUAAUAACAGAAUCUACCCCCCAGAAAUGUUGUGAGGAUCAAGUAACAUAUAUUAAAUGCUCUGAAAACCUUAAAAAAGUGAUGGUGAUGAUGCAACAGAGGAGUUGGAAGAGAAGUUCAAGUAGCAACCUAAUGAGUCACUGGAGCAAUGGCUGCUGAGGGGAUGGUCAAAUGGAACUAAUGGGAAGCUUCUCUCCCCAGUAGAGACCCAUAGGGAAGCUCUCAGAAGACUUAACUAGGGAAGCUGCUUAAAUAAUUACUCAAUCCACGUGGAAGUUACCUUACGUCCCUUUUUAGGGAGGUAAGAUAGGGAUAUUACACACACCUGGUCCCAUAAAGAUAAAAUGCUGCCGUACCAAUGAGGGUCUGCAAAGGAGGGGGUUAAGUUCCUAAAAGAAAUGGGUUUGAUAAAUUAGAUUUAUGCAGACCCUAACAUGGGCUUUACUCUACAACUAUACAGGGGUAGUCUGGUAAACUAGUAAAAUGUGAAGCAGAGAUCAGGACAGAUAUGACUCAGGCAAACAGUCCAUUCAAACAGGCACUCUUGGGGAUGGGAGAAAGCAGAGUCCACCAUACUGCCAAGACUUGAUGAGGGAGCUUUGGGUAUGGGGUUCCUAAAACACAAGGCUGUUAAUAAAGUAACUGAUGGUCAGCCUAUGGAGGUACCAGUAAAACUGUACUAGGAAAUGUAACAACAGGGCAUUAAGACCCUUCAGUUUCCUCUAACCCCAAGGGAAGGGCUAUCAUGGGCUCUUGGGAGGCAGCAUCUGUAUUGAGCCCCUUUUGGGAACCUCUAUGUAAGUUAUUUAGUGCAGGAUACAUGGGAACAUUUUGUGUUGUCUGAACCAUCCCAUGUAGGUAACCAAACAAUACAGAUCUCUGAGGAGGGUUGGGGGAACGGGUGCCGUGGUUCCUAGUGAAACAUAUUUCUUCUUUAGUGAGGGAGAUGAAGAAAUCGGAAGCACCUCCUAAUUCUCCACAUUACAAUCCCUUGUGGUCCAUGAGGACGGUAGAUGGCACCUUGCCACAUGAACAAAGUCAUGCCCACCACAACUAACAGUUGUUCUUGAUCUCUUCAAAGUCAUUCACCAAGUAGCUCAGGCCCAGAGUGAGUGAUAUGGAAUUACUGACCUCAUCAAUGCUUUUUUCUUCAUUUCUGUGGCUGAGACAAGUAAGGAGCAUUUUGUUUUCAACUGGAAGAGUCCAGUAUACUUUAGCUAUCUUUCUGUAGGACAACUUGAAUUGUGCCUCUUAUCGAUCCAUUAAGGUGGGAGGCCUCCCUUCAUGAGGGCACACUGAUAUACACCAUUACAGUGAUGACAAAUUUGACUGUACCAGAUAAGGCCACAAUGAUUGAAGCCCCAGACAGGAAGGUAGCCUGGCCCAUAUCAUGGUUCAGGACUGGGCCCAGGGUAUAGCCUGCUAAGUUUGGGGGAAUAUAGUGGAUUGGGAAAACUCAGGGGAUCAUAAACACAGCAGACUGAUUUCUAUGUGACCCACAGUGACUUUCCCCUGCACUUGGGAGACUUCCACUUUCUCAGGUGAGAAGACCAAGACUUUCCUCUAACCAGGAGCCUUCUGAUGCCUGCUUUGAGUGAUCCCUUAGGAGAGGCUGCUACAGGCUAGUGGAAUGACUUCCAUCUGUGCCAGCACAAGACAACUUCCACCUCCUGCUGCAGGCCUGAUCUGGCACAGACAAGAGGGAAGAGAAAGAGAAAAGAGAAAAUGUGUUACACAGCUUCGACUUCCAUCUCUGCUCAUUUUCCAGUAUUUGGAGGGGAGAGGAGUGAACUAGGUCCUCCCAUUUGACUGUGUGCCUUCCAUCUCAUGCUGCAUUUGUCCCCAGCCUGAGCUUGUCUCCUGUGUAAAGAGAAGCAGUUCCUUCCACUUAAUGAUGAAAAUUCUGACACCUGCUCAUAUCCUACAGCUCUCACUGAUUCUGACCCCUGCAGGGAAAGAAUGAGAAAAAGGCAUCGAACCCAGGGAGAGUGUGUAUAUACAAACACUAUAAAAUGAGAUUGAUUUUCUUACAUGGCUAAUAAAGUAUCUUUCAAAGAAGUUUCAAAAUGGAAGUUCAGAAGUGUGCUGAGGAACAUUAGGAUCAAACGAAAUGGUUUACAAAGCACUUUGCAAAACUUAAAGCACUCUGUGAAUGUCUUCCUUUUAAUAUCAGGCACUAUCUUUUGUCCUGUGUUGUAUUCCCAGGCCUUAGCACAGUGCCUAGCACCUAGUAGGCUCUCAAUAAAUGUUUACUGUCUAUCUA